rnacentral:lncRNA from 1 species
UUUGAUCUGCCCCUCAUGGAGAAGUAGAUCAAAAAUUUUGUCGGCCUUUGAUGUGUCAAAACUGAACGCCUCCAUUUCUUUUUUCCCGAAAGGACACGAUAUCGGCUUUUUUCCUUUAACCCACUCUGCUAGGCUGAUUUCCACUUCCUCCUCAGAUUCAGAUCCCUCUAAGUAUGCCACCUUCUUCUGAAAGUUUCUUCGAUGAUCAAAGGGGCGUACUUCUUUACCAACCUAUUGGUGGACGAUCUGACUCGGGCUCUCGAACUCCUGGGAGG